rnacentral:sRNA from 1 species
UAAGUGGGAGCUUCGGCGCAAG